CUUUAGAAAGGAUUGUGGGGACAGAACACCGCAUCAUAACCUGGUUUGCUCAUCUCCAAAGGAAAAGGAGAUAUGGAGUGAAGCUCUUCCGGGAGGACAGAACUGGAAUGGAGUCUGUAAUGUUCAGGGAUGAAAACUGAGAGCAGCAUACUGGUGUGCAGCUAGUGUGAGUGAGACUGGGUUUGAAUUCAGUGACAGAAUCUUCCUCCCAAACCUACUGCUCAAAACAUACUAAUGUGUCUUUUGGGAAUCUGAGACUACUGCUAGAGAAUUCAUACUCCACUUCCACCUCUCCAAAGCUUGCUGUUUUCUUCAGAGUUCCCAUAUAACUUACCUCUCUCCAAAUUGCACCACUCCUCAUGUUGGGAAGCACAAGGAUUUUUCUGUGGUGGACUCCACUGUGUUUACAACUGAUUUGGGAUGAUGUGGUGCUGUAAAGAGCUACCAAUAAAGCUACCAAUAAACUAGAAGUUUGGUCUAACGGGAGAAGAGCAGCUUGGUUUCCCAUGUUCUUUCAAUCAUCUGUUCUGUCCCCUGUGGAAGUUAAAGGUGGCUGGACCAAGGGAAGAGGUUGCAUUUGCUACUUUGAACCUUGUGUCACAUUCUCCUGUAAGAAGGGCAAGAAGCUACCUGUUACCCUACAGGGGGAAGAAUAAGCAAUAUGCCUGUGAGAGCAGAAGAUUUGUAACUCUGGAGCCUUGAGGAUUAAUGCUGCCAGCUGAAGACCCAGGGAAACUGAAUGGCCUCCUCUAUUCCCUGUUGCUGGGUUGAUUCCUUAGACCUCA